UGUCUGCUUGUUGUUUGGCACAACACAAAAGCAGUAGAAAUAUUAAAUUAUCGUCGUAUACGUGGACAAACGAAGGUAAUUUUAUCAUUUCAAGUCAAAAGAAAUCUGUUCUCGUUGCAUCAAGUAUGGAAUGUUUAGCAACAAUUCCUACGCAGAUAAUCCACCGCGAAUUAGUAAAGAUAAUCUUUUCAUGAUCAUCGCACUCUGGAUGGAAGAUUUUGUCACCCGUGAAGAAGCCAAAAUCGAUGAGAAUACUAACCAAGUUGGGGCAGUAUUAGUAUCUGCUGACGACGAGAUAUACGCAGCUGACUGUUCACGAGAGGGAGUUUAUGCCGUUGCUAGAUUAUUAAUAAAACAUUCAGAAAAAACGAAAGGCUCCAAAAUCUUCAUGUCUCGAUAACCUUGCCAUUUUUGUGCGAAACUUCUCGUUUAAACAGAGGUUCAACGUGUGUUUUAUCUUCCCUUUCAUCCAGAGUAUUAUGUUUCAUCCAACGAAAGUAAAAUGGGCGAAGUCGAUGAGAUGUUUAAGUCAAGCUCAAUCUCUGCAUCAUUGUUUGUAUUUGAAAUAGAAAAGAGCGUCCUUGAACACGAAAAACUAAACAGGCGUUCGUUGAGGAAAUGUGAUAUUAAUCGGAUUAAAAGAACGUUUGAGCUUAAUCAAUGGAAAUCAGUUUGGCUCACCAAGAAGCAUGGAGAGCCGUGUGCGAAAAUCAAACGCGAGCUUCCCUGGCCAAUAUUUGAUUUUGGAAUUUCCGAAGCGUCAAAAAUCAAUUCGACGAUGUAAUAGAAUGGAUGGCAAUGGUUAUAUAUGCGAGUGGAAGGUCUUUAAAAGGCAAUUUCCGGUACUGUCCUCUUAUGCCACAGGACAUUGAAUUUAGCUCUUCAAGUAAAACACAUCCAUUGAGUGAUUUGACCCUACAAAGGAGAGCUGUCGACAGAAAGCUAAUCAUUUAAUAAUUCUUGCAAGUUUUCUUACUCAACGAACAGAUGAUCCAAAAACAGGAGUGGCGGGUGGUUUGACCCACGUACGAUGCGGAGCAGCAUCGACACUUGAAAGAAUAGACAACAUUUGAUUUCAUGACAAAGGCAAUUGAUUUGUGUGCGGAUUUGGGAUGAGUGUAAACCAGCAAAUGGAAGGCCGUAAUGCAGUAUUUUCUUGGGUAUGGUGGUUUGGGUUGAAAGACUUAGUCAAGAAACAUUUUUACACAGUGAUCAAAUAUGUGGCAGGGAAGUGAAUUGGAAAUAAAUAAUCUGCGUACUUUUUCGAUUUCAAUAUGGAAGUUUUCAUAAGUGGAGCAAAUAUUAAAAAAGCGAUGAACUAAACAUAAUAUUAUACUGCGUUUAUAUGUUAGUGGGAUGAAGUUGUGGAAAUUAGUAAAAAGACCAGUGAACGUAGGUUUUCUGUAUAUGGACGUGAAGAAGUUUCCAUUAGAGCGAUGAACAGUGAUGUCAAGAAAUGGAAGUUUUCGAUUGUGUUCGAUUUCACUCGUAAACUUAAUAUUGGGGUGUUUGUGGUUUGAUAUUUAUAUUAAGAAUUUGAUAUUUAUAUUCUUUAAAUAUUUAAGAAUAUAUUCUUAAAUAUUUAUAUUAAGAAUUUGCUUCCCGCCCGGUAUAUCCCUGGUCACAGUUAUGAAUAUGUGCAUGUAUUUUUAAAGUUUGUUUAUGAGAACAAGAUGAACCAUUUCAUAGCUGGACAAUUUUUUUAUUCUAUUUUUAUUUCAUUGUGAUAGUGACGAUAUAUAUAUCUAGUUUUUGAGCAGGUGAGCGGGAUGAUUGAUUAUGAUGUUUGGAGUCUAAACCUUUCAAAAUACUUUGUAAACAUUCCGCACAUUGCUAAAACAUUGGUAGUUUUGAUGAUAAAGUAGUUUUUUAACUUUUCACUUUUUUGCUAAUCUAUAUAUUUGUAAAUUUUUACAAAAUGCUAGCUUUUAUUACUAAAACAUGCAAACACAUGCCGAAAAGCCUACCGGGAGUGUGUAUACCAACAGUUGCAAUCUCAUGUUUGUGUAUGUAGAUCGUGCAAGUCAGUGGAGCUCUGAGUUAGUGUUGGUAUAGAAUGACGAUUCAUCAAUUUUUAUUGCGAGAGUCAUCUCUAGAAUCAAGAAUUGCAACUUCUUUUCAUCACAUCAGUAAAACUGCAAACGGAAAAUAACGAGAUAACAAACUCAUUAUACAGCUUCAGUAAAACAGUUAUGUAAUUGUUUUGCUGUGAUUGAUAGAAUUUCUCUUCCAUAUGCCUGUGAAUAUGUAAUAAUUUAAAUAUUAAUCAAUUAGUUUCUCUGUCAUCGUA